CACAGUGUAGCAAUACAUGGGUGGCGACCGGCAAACGGGUGCGGAACACGUACGCAACCUUCCUUCAGGCGGGGAAUAGCCCAGAGAAAUUUGGAUUAAUACCCCAUAAUAUUUUGAGAUGGCAUCAUCUUAUUAUUAAGGCUACGGCACCUGGAGAUGGGCGUGCGGCUGAUUAGGUAGUUGGCGGGGUAAUGGCCCACCAAGCCUACGAUCAGUAGCUGAUGUGAGAGCAUGAUCAGCCACACGGGCACUGAGACACGGGCCCGACUCCUACGGGAGGCAGCAGUAAGGAAUAUUGGUCAAUGGACGCAAGUCUGAACCAGCCAUGCCGCGUGGAGGAUGAAGGUCCUCUGGAUUGUAAACUUCUUUUAUCUGGGACGAAAAAAGGGUUUUCUAACUCGUCUGACGGUACCAGAUGAAUAAGCACCGGCUAACUCCGCGCCAGCAGCCGCGGUAAUACGGAGGGUGCAAGCGUUAUCCGGAUUCACUGGGUUUAAAGGGUGCGUAGGCGGGCAUUUAAGUCAGUGGUGAAAUACCUGAGCUUAACUUGGGAACUGCCAUUGAUACUAUUUGUCUUGAAUGUCGUGGAGGUUAGCGGAAUAUGUCAUGUAGCGGUGAAAUGCUUAGAUAUGACAUAGAACACCUAUUGCGAAGGCAGCUAACUACGCGAAUAUUGACGCUGAGGCACGAAAGCGUGGGGAUCAAACAGGAUUAGAUACCCUGGUAGUCCACGCCCUAAACGAUGAUUACUCGACAUUAGCGAUACACUGUUAGUGUCUGAGCG
rnacentral:rRNA from 1 species